UUCUCCAUUUGUUCAUCAGCAGCCUCCAGCU
rnacentral:piRNA from 1 species